GGGCGUUUGGCGCAGUUGGCUAGCGCGCCAGCAUGACACGCUGGAGGUCACAGGUUCGAGCCCUGUAACGCCCA
rnacentral:tRNA from 1 species